UUAAAUCCGUAUUCCUCGACUUCUUGCAUGCGCUCAGCCUUAAUUCGUUUGGACCGUUGAUGCCUUUUCCAAAGAAAAAUUCCUAAACCAAUCAAAAUUAGAACUACACCAACAGGAAUAGCAACAGAACAACCAACAACUACGCCGACAUGAUUGCUUGACUUGUUAGAUUUACUGGGCAAAGUGCCACUGGAAGAAUAAGAAGAGCUAAUAGGCGUAGACGAAGUGCUGGAAGUGAAAGAACUGGAGGAAUUCCAAUUAUUAGUAGUAGUGGGGGUCACCACUUCAGAAACGUAAGAAGUUGAGACCAAUGUGAUUAUUGAGGGUCCAUCUCGAUACGUACUACUGACAAUGCUGGCUGAAGAACUCAAGCCGCUCGUAGUCAUGGAAGAGCUGUGGUAGGAAGAACUAGAUGAUGGGACACUAGACGAAUGGCUUAAGGAACUACUGGACAUCCCACUGGAGGAACUACUAGCGACAAGAGAACUACUGCUGCUGCUAAGCGCGUGACUCGAACUACUGGAGGUCGGGGAAGCACUGCUACUGGAAGUCAGUGUAGCACUGCUACUAGAGGUCAAUGAAGCACUGCUACUAGAGCUUUGUUGGCUGCUUGAUGAGACCAAAGAUGUGAUAAAAGAAGAAGAAGCAGGAGAAGUAAAAGAUGAGGAUGAAAGAGGUGAAGACGAUGAUGAAGAACUAAUUGCAGUAGCACUAGACGAUGAAAGCAUAGAGCUCGAACUAGAAGGAAUCACGCUUGAGCUACUCAAACUCGU